ensembl:rRNA 5S_rRNA 5S ribosomal RNA
GCCAGCAGCCAUAUCACCCUGCAACUCACAACUGGUAACCCACUGAAGCUCAGCAGGUGUGAGCCUGGUCAGUACCUGGAUCGGAGACCUCCUAGGAAAAACUAAGGUUGCUGCUGGAA